rnacentral:rRNA from 1 species
AAACUCAAAGGAAUUGACGGGGAGCACCACAACGGGUGGAGCUUGCGGUUUAAUUGGAUUCAACGCCGGAAAUCUUACCGGGACCGACAGCAAUAUGAAGGCCAGGCUGAAGACUUUGCCGGAUUAGCUGAGAGGUGGUGCAUGGCCGUCGUCAGUUCGUACUGUGAAGCAUCCUGUUAAGUCAGGCAACGAGCGAGACCCACGCCCACAGUUGCCAGCGUACUCUCUGGAGUGACGGGUACACUGUGGGGACCGCCGCUGCUAAAGCGGAGGAAGGAAUGGGCAACGGUAGGUCAGUAUGCCCCGAAUAUCCCGGGCUACACGCGAGCUACAAUGGUUGGUACAAUGGGUAUCUACCCCGAAAGGGGACGGGAAUCUCCUAAAGCCAAUCUUAGUUCGGAUUGAGGGCUGCAACUCGCCCUCAUGAAGCUGGAAUCCGUAGUAAUCGCGUUUCAACAGAACGCGGUGAAUACGUCCCUGCUCCUU